UAACAGCUUGGCCCCAUUGGCCGUCUGC
rnacentral:sRNA from 1 species